AUACGGAGGGUGCAAGCGUUGUUCGGAAUCACUGGGCGUAAAGGGCGCGCAGGCGGUUUGGUAAGUCAGAUGUGAAAGCCCACGGCUCAACCGUGGAAGUGCAUUUGAAACUGUCAGACUUGAGUACUAGAGGGGAAAGUGGAAUUCCCGGUGUAGAGGUGAAAUUCGUAGAUAUCGGGAGGAAUACCGGUGGCGAAGGCGACUUUCUGGCUAGAUACUGACGCUGAGGCGCGAAAGCGUGGGGAGCAAGCAGGAUUAGAAACCCCAGUAGUCC
rnacentral:rRNA from 1 species